GGACACAAGCUGCUCCCUGAAAGGUGGUUGACACUCAGGCCAUGUCCCCAGCGCUGCAGCGGCCGGCCCAGGGGCUCUCUCUAGUCAGUCUCAUCCCCUUAGCCCCUGGCAGCGACUACCCUCUGUUCCCAUCUCAGAGCAAGGGCCAGCUAGGACCCCUGGUGUCCAGGGGAGGACCUGGGCUCCACAGGGUCCUGGGCCUGGCCCACCUGCUCCCAGCCUGCACCUGCGGCGAUUGUGGGACCCUGUUCCCGCCCCUCUGGCAAAUGCAUGUUCCACGUGUGAGACAGGAGGAUUCACCAGGCUAACCCUGACUGGGAAACCCCAGCGUCUCCCUCCCGGAGCUUCCUGGCUGCUGCCUGCCGUUUUCUGCCCCUUUGGCUCUGCCUGGCCUGGAACCCUCCUAGGGCAGGGUCCUGGGGACACGUCUGGGGAAGGCAGCCCAAUGGAUCUGCAUGCACCAUUGCCAAGCCCAGUCCAGAGACUGUGAGGGCCCUUUGAGCGCUGGAACCGGAGCUGAGAGGCACAGGGCAUCCAGCUGCCCACCGGCCUUGGGAGGAUCCCUCUGGAGUCAGCCCUGGACUUCCACACUGGUUCACGGAAGAGGCUGCAGCCAUGAGGGUGCCUGAUGGUGCCACCCAUCCACCUGGAAAUUUCCAAAAUUUGCCAUGGGGCAGAGGACAUAGAGGUGGUAGAGGGGGGAACAAGCAUGGGCGUCGUCUUUUCUCAUUUCUCCCAAGAUCUGGGCUGGUCAGCUGUGCUGCUCCAGCAAAGCAACUGAAGUUCUGUGAAGGGGUGCCAGGGGUGACAUUUCAGGAAAACAUUUGGGGCAACCUUGCCGUCCUGUCCCAGAGCCUAGACCCGAGUCCCUGGCCUGCUACAACUGGAAGAAAGGAAAAGAGCACCGUCACUGGCACAGGUUGAGGCGUAUCUACCCAGUGGACAUGGCCUGUGUAUUUCCUGCCUGGAGCAUGCCUGAGGGCUGUGGAGUAGUCCAUCCUAUGGGUGUUAAAACUUGUCACUAUUGUCAGAUAUGUAACCUCUUAUGGAGUUUUGCUAUUUUAAAUUAUGCUGCUUGGAACAUCUUUAUACUGACACUUUUCUGUAUGGCUGUGCUGCUUUCCUGAUGAAUUCCCAGAAGCAGAAGUGUCAGGUAGGGUGUCUGUGUGUGUAAGGCCCUCGCCACACAAAACCAGGGCUUUUGGGCAAGCUCAGAUUCAUUUUUCCGCAUUUGUUCCUCAUAUUAAGGAUGGGCAUCAUGAUUCUCAUUGUUCAGAUGAGAAAGCCGGGGGCUGAAGUGACCAGCCAGCAGCCACCCACAGCCGGUAAGGGACAGUUAGAAGGAAAGCCAACCUGUAAGUCCCAUACAUUUCCAGGGCAGUUUCCUGCCUCACUCUCACUCAUUUGCCUAUAUCAGACAUGCUCGCAAUUUUCCCACAAAGAUUUCCAUGAAAAUCAAAUUCUGGGCCCAGAGGUGAAAGGCAGCCUCGUGUUAAUUAGUCUGGCUUUGGUUUGGCUCAUCCACCGAGUUUGGAUGUGUGCGACUAUCUCUGUGUUUUCAUACACACACGCUGGCACUCUAACACCCACCAACACCAGUGGUGGCCAGUCCAGACGAUCCGGUCCACAUUGUCCUUCCAAACCCCCUUCGGAGCCCAGCCAGGAGCCACAGGGGGCCCUGGCUUGGCUUCCACACAUCUACUCAGCAGACUUGGCCCAAAGGACGUCUUGUUAUUUCCCCAAAUCAAAUCUCUCCCCGAGGACAAAGAUCAGGCUGCUGGAGUGAUACAAAAGAAUGAUCCGUUCCUGAGACGGCUGCUCCCAAAGACGUGUUGCAGCUGGUCUGGGGGUGGCUGAGCCCUGGCGCUCGUCCAGUGCCCUGAAGAGGACGGGGGAAGGGGAGGUGCUCCUUGGAGUAUGGGAGGCCUAGGUAUUUGCAGAGGUCUCUCAGGCCACUCUGGGGCUCUGGAAACAGCUUAGCAUUGAGACAGUUUGAUUUCGUUCACUUAUUUAUCGGCUCCUGUGUGUCUGAGAGGGCUAUAGUCAUUACCUUAUUUAAAUCAACAACCAAAUAUUGUUAUCCCCAUUUUAUUGAUGAGAAACCUAAGGCUCAGAGAGGUUAAGAAACUUGCCUCAGGUCACACAGCAGUGGGUACUCAGUCUCAGCAUGCCUGCUCCUUGCAGACAUCAGGCCCCAGCCUCUCUUCUGAGUUAGAGGUCUCUGCUGUGUGUGGUUAGCAGGCCCCAAGGAACACACCUCCACCUGGAGCUAUCUCAGGUAGAACCCAAGAUGAUUCUCAAGUGCUUGGAGGAUACAAGUGGUCCAGACUCACCCUCCCUGGUGCCCAAAUCCUGCCAGGUCUCUGAGUGGCCUCCUUCCUGAGACCAUACCACAGGCCCAGCCCACUGCUGAGGGGGCCCACUAGCAGUCCGUUCCUUCCUCCAUUUCAGGUGGCAGUGUUCCCUGAGUUGGGGCAAAGAAUCACCUCCUCUCAGGCCUGUGGCUUAGAGCCGGGCGGCCUAAAGAGGCCUUUGUCCACGGCAGAAGGAACCAGAAAAAGGAAGAGCCCAUUCUCCCAGAAAACAUGUGUUUUCUGUUUACAGAGGGGCCUGUCCAGUUCCCAUGCUUUGUUCUUUAAUAUAGAGCCAAGAAAAAAACAUCAAAUGUGCAGCUUCCUUUCUGAGGUACAUUCGGAGGCUGGAAACUCUGGAUUGUUGUGGGCAUACCGCGCUGGGCCUCGAGCUGGCUGGGCCAGGGCCCCGAGUCCUGUCUGCGGCAGACAUCCAGCAUCACGUGGCCUUGCUAUACAGCAACCUGGAAAGCCACGCGAAAAGCUAAGAUGCCCCCUCGGUGCCCCCUCGGGAGGCUGUGGGUGGAGACGAGUGAGGCAGGCAGCCUCCGUGUAGCGGGGGUUUGGUUUCUUCAGCACCGAGUCCGCUUGUGUGGGAGGGGUACCCUGGGGCGCUCUCAGGCACACUUCGUGGCCUGUAUCACUGGCACGGCCGGCGUGGUCCGACAAACCAGCCAUCCUAGAAUUACCCACCUUUUCACGCGUGUCAGAUGCUGCACAGAGGGUGUCUUUUCCCAUCACUUGAGCACAGGGACGCUGGAUAACGAACAGGUAGGCGCUAACUUGGCACAGAUCUCCAGGCUCCUGGGGGCAGAGCUCCCGGGCACCGGGCACCUUCAGGGAGGAGAGGGGCUUGGCUCUGGGUAGUAGCGUCCCCCUGCUGAGGAUGCGGCAGCAGGGAGCUAAGAUGUAACAGAGGCGGCAGCCAGCUGUGCCCGCUGCAAGGGAACUGUUAUCACCGAGCCAGGUUAGCACGGAGUAAAAGCUGGGACGCUGCACUGGGGACCUGGGUCCAAACGCAGGCUGUGCCCUCUCCUGAGCGGCCUUGGACAAGCUGCCUCUAUGAGCUCAGCCCCCUCAUCUGUGAAAGGGGGUGACCGAUGUUACCAGCCCUUAAUGGAAUUGCUAUAAGGAGCAAUGAGAUGACACAAAGGCACCCGUCCCAGGCCUGCGUGGCAGUGGCUUUCAAUAAAUGGCAGCUGCUAUUAUGAUUUCUGGGCCUUCAGCCUUCUCUGAAGUGGGGCUCUAGCUCCAGCAUCAGUCCUCACAGCUCACAUACGCCCCAGUUCACAGUCAGCAGAUAGAGGGGCGCUCUGGGCCUAGCUUCCUCACUGCAGAGUGGGUGACACAAGGCACUGAGGCUUAAAGGGAGCCUCGCGUCCGGCCCAAGGGCGCUGCGUCCUGCGUUGCCACUGGGAAGGGUCGGGCCGGGCACCGCGGGCUUUGAUCCGCCCGCUUUCCCUCCAGGCAGGGCAGGCCAGCAGCUCGCGUCCCGGGGGAGGGGGUGGGGUGGGGGUGGCCCCGCCCGGCCCGCCCCCUUUGAUCUCUGGACCCCGGCUGUGAAGCCUCAGCUGCGGCCUCGGGGUCCAGCGCACCUGGGGGCGGGCGGGCGGGGACAGGAAUGAGGAGGGCUGAAGGAAGUGCGCGCAGGACCUCCUCCGGGAGCCGCGCCCUUCCGCCACGGCGCUCAGCGGCCUUGACCUUCCAGGUCGCACGCCCUUCCGUCCCGUUCCGGAAGCCAAUAGCCGCGCGACGGGCGGCGCGGACGCAGCGUGGCGGCGAGGGGGCGGGGCCGGGAGGGGUUCUUACGUGAUCGGGGGCGGGGUCUCUGAGCGACCGGCUCCGGAAGCCCGGGCGAGGGCGCAGCCGGCCAGCGGCGCAGCCGAGGGGGCGAGGCGGGGGUUCGGGGCGUGGCCUCUACGCGCUGGGGGCGGUGCCUCUGGCUGUUGUCUCCCAUCUGCGGGGGCGGCGGGAGGUUCGGAAGUAGCGUCGCAGUCCAGAGGGCGGGGCCUGGGCGGAGCCUUGCGCGGCUGGCUCGGAAGCUCCGGGGAAGGCAAGGCAAGGCGGUGCUAGGGGCGGAGCCUGGGCGGGGCCUCUGUGCGGCCGCGGCGCAGUUGUGAUUUCAGUUUCUGCGUCCCGCCCUUCCCACCUGGAGCUUGUUUGACCUUUUCUUGGGUGCCGAGAUAUUUGAGCUAGAUUUCAUCUAAUUCAGAUUUCAUUACUUUAGACUUUCAUUUUUUAAAGUUUGAUAAUUUUCUGUCUUUUUCCCUCUUCCCCUGACAGGUAAAAACCUGACAGUAAAGACUUUGGAAAACCUAGGAAUGGACAAAUUAAAAGGAGAAAUCUAUCAAAUCUCACAGCACAGAUCAGGGACGAGCUCAGUGUGGACUCUGGUAUUGAGUCAUUUUUUUUUUUGUAAAUAUAUAGAUUUUUAAUUAACACCGUACAUACAUUUGAGGAUGCCUUAAAAAUAACUGAUUUUUUUUCUGACUGCAGAGGCAUGCAUUUUUCCUUCAUUUUUACACAAUUGUACAUAUCUUUUAAACAAAAAUGGGAUUGUACUGUACAUAUUGUUUUGCAAUUUCUCCUUUCGUGCAUGGUUAUAUUAGAAAUGUCCCCACUGAAUGCUCAUUUACAGUGUUCUUUGUAAUCACACAGCCCUGUGUUGGGUGGUCCAUAUUUUAUUUAACCUAUUUGCUAUAUUGAACAUUGAUAUUCAUAGUUUCCAUCUCUUCCUUCUUUUAUGAUGAACAUGCUUGCAGUUAAAGCUGCAUGUUCAUGAAAAUUUUUUAUCAUAGAUUCCUAGCUGUGGAAUUACUGAGUCAAAGAAUAUACAUAUUCACUAAUGUUUCAUGCACCCCUCUUUUUUAUGUUCUCCAAGUUUAAAAAGUAAUAAAUGAAUGUUUUAA